CGGGUGAGUAACACGUGGAUAACCUACCUAUAAGACUGGGAUAACUUCUGGAAACCGGAGCUAAUACCGGAUAAUAUUUUGAACCGCAUGGUUCAAAAGUAAAAGACGGUCUUGCUGUCACUUAUAGAUGGAUCCGCGCUGCAUUAGCUAGUUGGUAAGGUAACGGCUUACCAAGGCAACGAUGCAUAGCCGACCUGAGAGGGUGAUCGGCCACACUGGAACUGAGACACGGUCCAG
rnacentral:rRNA from 1 species